rnacentral:lncRNA from 1 species
GCCUCCUCCCGGACGGGACAACCGGAUAGGGUAGAUGACGAAGAGGGAGAGGAGGUCGACGCAGCCGCAUCAUCCGCAUACCCUCAACCUUCAUUCUCGAACUCAUCGAAGGACCACGACGACGUAGACAUUUACCUGAUCAACCGGAAGAAGGGAAAAGAAGGACGGGAAGAGCGUAGAGUAGGAACGGGAAUCAGAGAGCAGAUGGAAGAGGAUAGGGAAAUGAGGAGGGGGCCCUCCACCUUUUAUAGCCGAAAAACGGGCUCCAAGAGAACAUCUCAGCCGUCCAUUGAUGACAGAUCCAACAGAGGGAAAUUUGUGACUCUUCGGUGAACAGGUAUGAUUGAUGGGAGGGAAAAUCGUAGCCAUUGCUGAGUACAGGAUCGAAUGGCUGGGGUGACGUGACGUUUCGUUACCCAAAAGCGUUCUGAGAGCUUAAACCCCUUCGCUAAUCGAAGACGCUCGGGGCUUGGGGGGCUUGUGUAGUGGGGAAGGGUCGGCUGAGUCGGCCGGAUCAAGAGUGCUGAAAGAAGACCGGUCGGCCAGGUUGUCAAAGCCACAAGGGGCAAAGGAGGCN